AGUGAACGCUGGCGGUAGGCCUAACACAUGCAAGUCGAACGGCAGCACAGUAAGAGCUUGCUCUUACGGGUGGCGAGUGGCGGACGGGUGAGGAAUACAUCGGAAUCUACUUUUUCGUGGGGGAUAACGUAGGGAAACUUACGCUAAUAACGCAUACGACCUACGGGUGAAAGCAGGGGAUCUUCGGACCUUGCGCGAUUGAAUGAGCCGAUGUCGGAUUAGCUAGUUGGCGGGGUAAAGGCCCACCAAGGCGACGAUCCGUAGCUGGUCUGAGAGGAUGAUCAGCCACACUGGAACUGAGACACGGUCCAGACUCCUACGGGAGGCAGCAGUGGGGAAUAUUGGACAAUGGGCGCAAGCCUGAUCCAGCCAUACCGCGUGGGUGAAGAAGGCCUUCGGGUUGUAAAGCCCUUUUGUUGGGAAAGAAGAGCAGCAGGUUAAUACCCCGCUGUUCUGACGGUACCCAAAGAAUAAGCACCGGCUAACUUCGUG
rnacentral:rRNA from 1 species